CAGGUCAGCAUACUGCCGUGAAUACGUUCCCGGGCCUUGUACACACCGCCCGUCACACCAUGAGAGUUGGGAAUACCCGAAGCCUGUGAGCUAACUUUUAGAGGCAGCAGUCGAAGGUAGAAUCAAUGAUUGGGGUGAAGUCGUAACAAGGUAUC
rnacentral:rRNA from 1 species